rnacentral:lncRNA from 1 species
ACUCAGUUCUCUCACCAUGCGAUUGCCCUGCAACACCUUGGAACUCUGCAGAGAGUAGCCAGCAGGAAGGUCUCACCUGAGGUGAACCUUCGACCUUGGACUUCUUAGCCUCCAGAAUGAAAAAUGGCAACCAUCAAAUCAAGAAAUUGGCCCAAAGCCCUACAGUCUGCAAACAUCAUAACAAUUCAUCCUGAAGUUUCUCCAUGAAAUGUGAUGCUUUGCUACAUCAUUCUGCAAUCCCAGAAGAUUUUUUCAUAUUUUUUUGCUAUUACAGAAAAAUCUCAGUCUCCCUCCCUCUCUCUCUCUCUCUGUGUGUCUCUUUUACUCCAUAUCUCUCUGUGUGUGUCUCUUUUACUCCAUAUCUCUCUGUGUGUGUCUCUCUGUUUAUGUCUCUCUCUCUCUCUCAUCCUUCCCAUGUUUCUCUCUCUCUCACACACACACACACUCAUUCACAGCUUUCAAAAGACACUUCUGUCCUUACCUUCACUUUUUGUUUUAAACAGCACACUCACUUUACUCUGAACUAUACCUCACAUGCACACGAGCUUUCUGCUCCAUCUGUUCAUCCCACAUGUGUCUUCACAUUCAAAGCAGCACCUUCCCCAAGACCAGCUCCCUAACCACCUCCCACCUCCACCCCAUCCCUAGUCAGAGGAAGGCCUGGUUCCCACCUGAAUUCAGCUUUGUCAAAGAGCCUCCUGGAAAGCUGUCAUCUUCAGUUAGUAGGGAUAAUGGGAUUAUUCUAUCUGUGUAAUAAUAACAUGUUCAAUUUAAAGAAAAAAAUCUGAAGCCACUUAAAAGCUGCUGUUUGGCACCGAUACAUUAUUCCAGUAAUGAAUAAUCAUUAAAGAUAUUAUUCUGGAUGCAGUUACCAUGCAGUGAUGUGAAUAAAAUGCAUUAGAUGGAAAAUUGUAUUUCAAGUAAAUAUAUGCACUGGUAGAAAUGUAUUACCACCCACUAAUAUGUAUUAAUUCAAAACCAAAUGCCAACUGGAGUUCGCCUACACGGGUUUGAAUGGCAGGCAGUGAUUUGGAAGUGGGAGGAAAUAGGUUUGGAUUUGGUCAAAUAGACUUAGAAGUGAUAGUGGGGGCGGGGGUUUAUGACUCAAACAUUAACAGGUGACAAGACUAUGCCAUGGACAGAACAGGUAUGAGGGGCUCCCCUCCUACACCUCUUUAAGAGAUUUUUAUCUCUGACUAAGGAUUACUGGUAGUUGUUGACAUUUCUGAAGCAGUGGAUCUUUUUCCCUUUUCACUAUCUGCAACUUCAAAUAUUCUUUUCUGAAGAAAGUUAAAAGGAAGCCUGUACAUUUUUUGCUAAGGUAAAUGCCUUGCCAUCUUAUUUCAUUUUCUCAUUUUUUUCUUCAGUGCACAACAUAAGCAACUGUCCUCCUUGUCAUACUCAAGAUGAGCUUGGCACAUCUGAAAUCUGCAGGAAUUUUCUCAUUAGCACAGGGUUCCAAGCCCAAACCGUGAAGAUGGAGUUUUCAUUUUUAAAUGGCACAUCUUCAAGUUCUUGCCCUGUCCUCACUUUAGUAUGCCCCAGAGGAAGUCAAAGAUAUGGACACUCUAAGACUCAGAAGAACCUUCUCAGGCAUUCAUUUUCCUAUCUAUUUUGAGCCAUUUUAUUUAAAAGGUUACAAUUUUAAACCUCUCUUUAAUUAAAAGAUACCAGAGUUACAAUGCAAUACUAUUUGGCAAUCAAAACUAAUGAAGCACAGAUGCAUGCUACAACACGAAUGAACUUUGAAACAUUGUGUUAAGUGAAAUAAACCAGUUAUUAUACAAGGCCACAUACUGUAUGAUUCCAUUUGUAUAAAAUGUCCAAAAUAAGCACAUCUGUAGAGACAGAAAUCAGAUUGGUGGUUGUCUAGAGCUGGCGGAGGGGAGGGAUGGGGAUUGUUCGAGGCAAAUGGGGAGUGACUCACAAAGAGUACCAGUUUCUUUUUAGGGCAAUAAAAUCUUUUAAAUUG